ACAUUCUGUGUGGAAAAACAUGGGAAAAUCAUGGAAGCCAUGGAAAAGUUUAAGUCUGGGAUGAGAUCCAGUGAAGUGUCCACACAAUACAGCAAGGAUACAGCCAGACAAGGGGGUGACUUGGGUUGGAUGACCGGAGGAUCCAUGGUGGGGCCAUUUCAAGAAGCAGCCUUUGCCUUGCCUGUAAGUGGGAUGGAUAAGCCUGUGUUUACAGACCCACAGGUAAGACAACAUUUGGAUAUCAUAUUAUUAUGGUUGAAGGAAGAAAAUAAAUCACAUGAAAGACUGAAAA
rnacentral:lncRNA from 1 species